UACGUAGGGCGCAAGCGUUGUCCGGAUUUAUUGGGCGUAAAGAGCGUGUAGGCGGCCAUACAGGUCAGCUGUGAAAACUCGAGGCUCAACCUCGAGACGUCGGUUGAAACCGUAUGGCUAGAGUCCGGAAGAGGAGAGUGGAAUUCCCGGUGUAGCGGUGAAAUGCGCAGAUAUCGGGAAGAACACCCGUGGCGAAGGCGGCUCUCUGGGACGGUACUGACGCUGAGACGCGAAAGCGUGGGGAGCGAACAGG
rnacentral:rRNA from 1 species